rnacentral:rRNA from 1 species
GACGGAGGGUGCAAGCGUUGUUCGGAAUUACUGGGCGUAAAGGGCGCGUAGGCGGUCUGUUAAGUUCGGUGUGAAAGCCCCCGGCUCACCUGGGGAACUGCGCCGGAAACCGACAGACUCGAGUACCGGAGAGGAGGGUGGAAUUCCUGGUGUAGCGGUGAAAUGCGUAGAUAUCAGGAGGAACACCGGUGGCGAAGGCGGCCAACUGGACGAAUACUGACGCUGAAGCGCGAAAGCCAGGGGAGCGAACGGG